rnacentral:lncRNA from 1 species
AGUUAUAAAAUCUUUUUCCAUUUACACCAAAGAAAAUGUUUUUCGUGUGUGCAGCAGGUGUGUUUUACUAUGACUUGUAGCUUGUGGGAGGCGCUAACUGCAGGGUCAACGCUGGGGCCCUACAAAGACCUUCACACGGACUCCGGGGACUGACCAGGGUCUGAGACAGACAUGAGGUGCUGUGGGAGGUAAGAGAGGACCCCUGGUUCCAAGGAACCUUGAGAUAUGGGACAGAAAGAAAGCAGCCAACUCCGUCACCCCGUCACCCCCUUGUCUGCUCAUCCAUUGAGGACUUUCCUCCCAGGUCCUCCUGCUCUGUGAAAGGAUUCCUGCUGUUUCCUAUCCCCAGGCUUUGUUAGAAACACUUCUGAGGAAUCACAAAAAAUGGCGGCGUCAAACGGCGACUUUCCUGUCCAUAGGGUCGAGGACACUGUGAGAGGAUGACCCAAGGCACAGACAGGCUGUGAGUGGACACAGGGAGCCCAGCAGCUGGACACUCCAGGAAGGUUGCCCAAUCAAGCCACUCAGAAAAACAACACCCAUCAGCCACACACAGGAGAGUCCACAAAAGCCUGCGAAGCGACAGUCUCAUUUCUCGCUGGUUUUUUCUGGAGAGAUGAGCGCGUUGCUGUCUCCACGAUUCAGUCUCUCAAUCAGCUGGUCACAUCAAUCGCAGAUCAGG